UGCAAGUUUUGUAAAGUGUCACCUUGUUC
rnacentral:sRNA from 1 species